CCUACGGGUGGCAGCAGUGGGGAAUAUUGCGCAAUGGGCGAAAGCCUGACGCAGCGAAGCCGCGUGAGGGAUGAAGGUCUUCGGAUCGUAAACCUCUGUCAGCAGGGAAGAACGGUCACUGUGCUAAUCAGCAGUGAAUUGACGGUACCUGCAAAGGACGCACCGGCUAACUCCGUGCCAGCAGCCGCGGUAAUACGGAGGGUGGGAGCGUUAAUCGGAAUUCCUGGGCGUAAAGCGCUCGUAGGCGGUAUGUCAAGUCAAGGGUGAAAUCCCCGCGCUCCACGUGGGAACUGCCUUUGAAACUGGAAAACUUGAGUGUGCGAGAGGAUGGUGGAAUUCCAGGUGUAGGAGUGAAAUCCGUAGAUAUCUGGAGGAACAUCAGUGGCGAAGGCGACUAUCUGGCACAUAACUGACGCUGAGGAGCGAAAGCGUGGGUAGCAAACAGGAUUAGAUACCCUAGUAGUC
rnacentral:rRNA from 1 species